GAUGAACGCUGGCGGCGUGCUUAACACAUGCAAGUCGAACGAAGCCCUAUAUUUGAUUUCCUUUGGGACUGAUUAUUUUGUGACUGGGUGGCGGAUGGGUGAGUAACGCGUUGGUAACCUGCCUUGUCGAGGGGGAUCACAGUUGGAAACGGCUGAUAAUACCGCAUAAGCGCCAAGCAUCGCUUGAAGCAGUGUGAAAAAGUCCGGCGGUAUAAGAGGGACCCUCGUUGGAUUAGCUAGUUGGUGCGGUAACGUCCCACGAAGGCGACGAUCCAUAGCCGACAUGAGAGAGUGACCGGCGACACUGGGACUGAGACACAGCCCAGACUCCUGCGGGAUGCAGGAGUGGGGGAUACUGCACUAUGGGCGAGAUGCUGAUGCAGCGACGCUUCGUGAGCCAAUAAGUAUUUCGAGAUGUAAAGCUCUAUAAGCAGGGAAGAUAAUGACGGUACCUGACUAAGAAGCACCGGCUAAAUUCGUG
rnacentral:rRNA from 1 species